ACGGGUGAGUAAUACAUCGGAACGUAUCCUGGAGUGGGGGAUAGCCCGGCGAAAGCCGGAUUAAUACCGCAUACGCUCUGAGGAGGAAAGCGGGGGGCCUUCGGGCCUCGCGCUCAAGGGGCGGCCGAUGGCGGAUUAGGUAGUUGGUGGGGUAAAGGCCUACCAAGCCGACGAUCCGUAGCUGGUCUGAGAGGACGACCAGCCACACUGGGACUGAGACACGGCCCAGACUCCUACGGGAGGCAGCAGUGGGGAAUUUUGGACAAUGGGGGCAACCCUGAUCCAGCAAUGCCGCGUGUGUGAAGAAGGCCUUCGGGUUGUAAAGCACUUUUGUCCGGAAAGAAAUCAUCGGGGCCAAUACCCCUGGUGGAUGACGGUACCGGAAGAAUAAGCACCGGCUAACUACGUGCCAGCAGCCGCGGUAAUACGUAGGGUGCGAGCGUUAAUCGGAAUUACUGGGCGUAAAGCGUGCGCAGGCGGUGCUGUAAGACCGAUGUGAAAUCCCCGGGCUUAACCUGGGAACUGCAUUGGUGACUGCAGCGCUGGAGUAUGGCAGAGGGGGGUGGAAUUCCACGU
rnacentral:rRNA from 1 species